ensembl:lncRNA
AUAGCAAAUAAUCAAGAUUGAUUGCGUAAAAUAGAGAUUAUCAAAUUUACUUUGUGGGUCUUACUCCAUUUUAAUUGAAUUCAGUUUGUUUGUAACUGACACAAACCAGCUCCUCAAUUUUAUUUUUUAAGUGGUAACCAGCAAAAUUUCCCCCCAGUUAGGCUGAUUUUGAUUAUCAGUCGGAGGAUUGUUUUGUUUUUUUUGGAGGGGGAUUUUUGUUCAUUUUUUCCCUCUGAAAGAACCAGUGAACAAUCACUUUGAUUCAGUCUUGAUUUUUGAGUUCUUUUUUUGUUCCUUCCUGUGGUUUUGAGUCUGCUUCCCAUUUGAACGAUGAAGUGUUGAAUAGAGACAAAAUUAAAGUGGACCUGUUAUGCUUCUAAAUUCUCUCAUAUACUUACAGGUUUAAUUGUGGGUGCUCAUAUAAACAAGUGUAUGCAGAGUUAAAAGUUCACACUGCUCUACAUUCACUGUUUCAGAGGUUGUUUUGUUGUGUUUUUUCUACUCAUGGAUGGUGAUGAUGUCAGAGAGGGGAUAUCUAGGGCAUCCAAUCAGAAGGAAGGAUUUCACAAAGCCUUAAAGAGACAAACGCUCAAACAGGUUAUUUUAGGUAGACGAUCAAAUGAGAAGAAAUACGAACAUGGAGCAGUGAAAGAGCAUAACGGGUCUCCUUUGAACAUCUAAAGUUUAAACAUUGAAUGCUGAUAUUACAGGGUUAACUGUGUCUUUUCUUUUAUUUGUCUGUGAUUGUUUUCAUGAGUUGUGUCUUUGGUCCAUUAUCUAUUUCUAACUUGCAUGUCUUGUACAUUUAACAAUAUAUUUUUCUAGGAAAAUGUUUUGUACCUUUUUUUUUUCUCUCUUUUAAACACUGAUUUUAAUGUAUUACUCAGCUGGUACUUUUGUUCUCAGUCUGUCGACUUCGUCAAGGCUGGAUGCUUUCUGCUUUUUUUUUUUUUUUUUUUUUUUGUUGUUUUGUGUGUGUUUUCUAUGCCCGUGCGCACUCCUUAUUGGCUCCUCGUGGCCAUAACUCCCUCAAAACUCCCUCUCGUUGAAGCUGAUUAACACAGUGUUACUGCGGUGAAUGUCGCGUGUUCACGUGCACGUCAGUAGUGAACAACGUGCCUGAUCGGAGCCAAAAUAAAACUGUAAAGUGAUUUCACGCCGAUUCGGUUAAUGGACUUUGCUUAUGAUUUGAGUGACGCUGAAUAAAAACAAAUCUCUGAUGUCAAACUUCGACAUCUGAAUCGGAAAGCUAGCGUAGAAUCAAUUGUUGUUGUAUCGCAUAAGCUUGCAUGCUAACUCCAUUGCUAGUUUUAAUAAGGCCAGUAAACUAGAGGGUGGUGUAUGUGUGCUUAUUUUCAUAAAACGUGAACGGGGUGGGGUUGUUUUAAUCUGUCUGAUUUUAAUAGGGGAAGUUUCUUCAUUUGUUUGUUGUUAUAUGUGGAAACAUGUGACUUUCCUGUUGGACUACAGCCAGCUUCAUUUCAUAAGAUUACCAAACAGGAAGGGAAAUGUCCAUAUGUGCUUUGAUCUAUCAGGUGAACACAGGGGAAAUUAACGUAUUAGCCAACAUGCAGAUCUGAUAUGGCUCUUAAGAAGGACCAAAAUCUGAUAUCACUGCAGUUUGUUUUUGCAGGUGUAUCUGAAACAAUCUUUUUUUUUUUUUCUCCUGCCAAUCAGAUUGUUCUGUGUCAAAGCAAAGUGUGAGUGCAGAUGACCGUCUGAAGGCUUUGUAGAAUUUUUUUUUCUUUCUUUUUUUUUUUUUUAAAGCUAAAGUCUCUUCUUGUCCAGUAAACGGUGAGCAGUUCGAUGUUAUUGUCACAUCUCCAGCUCGUUUCUUCUGAAUGUCUGUUAUUUUUAUACACAUUAAACAUUUUAUUUUUCCAUAAAUGGUCUAUUCUGUGUCUCUUCAUAAUAAAAACACUUUGCCAGUG